UCAGCAAAACAGUAAACAGGGUGUGAAGAACGUCUUGUGUUAUCGGAUGAUUUCAGUUUAAAAUAUUGUUCCACUGAUAUCUGUGGUUGAUUUUUGAAAGCAGAAAUACUGGAUUAUGAACACAUUCAUACUUGUUGCAGGCACUAGCGCAGAUUUUCCGUGUGAAAAAAACUUAAUAGAAAACCUAGGAUCGGCUUAUAUGGCAGUGCCAGCAUUGGCUGGUGAAUAAUAACUUCAACACAUGUACAUUAUCGAUGCCGAG